rnacentral:rRNA from 1 species
UACGUAGGGUGCAAGCGUUAAUCGGAAUUACUGGGCGUAAAGCGUGCGCAGGCGGUUGUGUAAGACAGAUGUGAAAUCCCCGGGCUCAACCUGGGAACUGCAUUUGUGACUGCACAGCUGGAGUGCGGCAGAGGGGGAUGGAAUUCCGCGUGUAGCAGUGAAAUGCGUAGAUAUGCGGAGGAACACCGGUGGCGAAGGCAAUCCCCUGGGCCUGCACUGACGCUCAUGCACGAAAGCGUGGGGAGCAAACAGG